UGGGGAAUAUUGGACAAUGGGCGCAAGCCUGAUGCAGCGACGCCGCGUGGGUGAAGAAGGUUUUCGGAUCGUAAAACCCUUUUCUGUGUGACGAGAACGGACGGUAGCACAGGAAUAAGUCUCGGCUAACUACGUGCCAGCAGCCGCGGUAAAACGUAGGAGACAAACGUUAUCCGGAGUUACUGGGCGUAAAGGGCGUGCAGGCGGCAGUCUAAGUCUGGCGUGAAAUAUCCCGGCUUAACCGGGGAAGGUCGUCGGAUACUGGGCAGCUAGAGGGCGGUAGAGGCGUGUGGAAUUCCGGGUGUAGUGGUGAAAUGCGUAGAGAUCCGGAGGAACACCAGUGGCGAAGGCGACACGCUGGGCCGCACCUGACGCUAAGACGCGACAGCAUGGGGAGCAAACAGGAUUAGAUACCCUUGUAGUCCCUGAGCGGGCUGGCAAGGCGCAU
rnacentral:rRNA from 1 species